rnacentral:rRNA from 1 species
UCGAGAAUCAUUCACAAUGGGGGCAACCCUGAUGGUGCAACGCCGCGUGGAGGAAGAAGGCCCUAGGGUCGUAAACUCCUGUCAUUUGAGAGUAAGGCUUAUGCGUUAAAAGCGUGUAAGUUUGAUAGUAUCAAAAGAGGAAGGGACGGCUAACUUCGUGCCAGCAGCCGCGGUAAUACGAAGGUCCCAAGCGUUGUUCGGAAUCACUGGGCGUAAAGCGUACGUAGGCGGUUAGGUAAGUCAGAUGUGAAAGGCAGGGGCUCAACCCCUGGACUGCAUCCGAUACUGCCCGACUAGAGUCAUGGAGAGGUAAGUGGAAUUCUUGGUGUAGCAGUGAAAUGCGUAGAUAUCAAGAGGAAGACCGAUGGCGAAAGCAACUUACUGGACAUGCACUGACGCUGAGGUACGAAGGCUAGGGUAGCGAAAGGGAUUAGAUACCCCCGUAGUCC